rnacentral:rRNA from 1 species
GCUGGCGGCAGGCCUAACACAUGCAAGUCGAGCGGAAACGAUGGGAGCUUGCUCCCAGGCGUCGAGCGGCGGACGGGUGAGUAACACGUGGGAAUCUGCCCAUUAGUGGGGGAUAACUCGGGGAAACUCGAGCUAAUACCGCAUAAUCCCUACGGGGGAAAGCAGGGGAUCUUCGGACCUUGCGCUGAUGGAUGAGCCCGCGUCGGAUUAGCUUGUUGGUGGGGUAAUGGCCCACCAAGGCGACGAUCCGUAACUGGUCUGAGAGGAUGGCCAGUCACACCGGGACUGAGACACGGCCCGGACUCCUACGGGAGGCAGCAGUGGGGAAUCUUGGACAAUGGGCGCAAGCCUGAUCCAGCCAUGCCGCGUGUGUGAAGAAGGCCUUCGGGUUGUAAAGCACUUUCAGUAGGGAGGAAGGCUUUGGGCUAAUACCCUGGAGUACUUGACGUUACCUACAGAAGAAGCACCGGCUAAUUUCGUGCCAGCAGCCGCGGUAAUACGAAAGGUGCGAGCGUUAAUCGGAAUUACUGGGCGUAAAGCGCGCGUAGGCGGUGUGUUAAGUCGGAUGUGAAAGCCCAGGGCUCAACCUUGGAAUUGCAUCCGAUACUGGCACGCUAGAGUGCAGUAGAGGGAGGUGGAAUUUCCGGUGUAGCGGUGAAAUGCGUAGAGAUCGGAAGGAACACCAGUGGCGAAGGCGGCCUCCUGGACUGACACUGACGCUGAGGUGCGAAAGCGUGGGGAGCAAACAGGAUUAGAUACCCUGGUAGUCCACGCUGUAAACGAUGUCUACUAGCCGUUGGGGUCCUUAGUGACUUUGGUGGCGCAGCUAACGCGAUAAGUAGACCGCCUGGGGAGUACGGCCGCAAGGUUAAAACUCAAAUGAAUUGACGGGGGCCCGCACAAGCGGUGGAGCAUGUGGUUUAAUUCGAUGCAACGCGAAGAACCUUACCAGGCCUUGACAUCCUGCGAACUUUCUAGAGAUAGAUUGGUGCCUUCGGGAACGCAGUGACA